CGGUAAUACGUAGGCGGCAAGCGUUGUCCGGAAUUAUUGGGCGUAAAGGGAGCGCAGGUGGGGAAGUAAGUCUUUCUUAAAAGUUCGGGGCUCAGCCCCGUGAUGGGAAAGAAACUACAACUCUUGAGUGCCGGAGAGGAAAGCGGAAUUCCCAGUGUAGCGGUGAAAUGCGUAGAUAUUGGGAAGAACACCAGUGGCGAAGGCGGCUUUCUGGACGGCAACUGACACUGAGGCUCGAAAGCCAGGGUAGCGAACGGGAUUAGAUACCCCGGUAGUCCUGGCCGUAAACGAUGGAUACUAGGUGUAGGAGGUAUCGACCCCNUUCUGUGCCGGANUUNACGCAAUANUAUCCCCCNUGGGGAGUACGGUCNCAAGACUGAAACUCAAAGGAAUNGACGGGGGCCCNCACAANCGGUGGAAUNUNUGNUUUAUUCG
rnacentral:rRNA from 1 species